GGGGUGAGGGACGCCUCCCGGUCGGCCUGGUCCCCUGGAAGCGGCGAAGCGUGCAUCCUGUCCGGCAGCUGAGGGAAGUCCGAGCGUGGCCUCCCCGCUCCCCACCUCACGCCUGAGUCAUCGGCGAGUCUCUUCUUCCUCUGGGAGACCCCACAAGCCCUUCGGAAACGUGCCCCCGGCAGCUCAUGGGAGCCCAUCCUGGCCACACCAGCGCCCCCAAGACACUGCUCUCUGGAUCCAGCAAGGGUCACCACCGGAGAGCUUGCAGAGGUAACACUUCAGUAUGCACCUGAUUAAACACCUGGUGACAGCUACUCAUUGUUCAUCUUUCUGGUAUUAUGGCAGCCCUGGAGCCAGACCCACUUUCCUACCAUGUGUACACAAAGUGAGCGGCAGUUCUCAGUAUCUCGCACCGGACUGCAACCAUGCCAGGGCCCAAAGCUACUCUCAUUCACACAGGGCCAGUGGGCUUCACACUGAUAUCAGCAGAGAAACAAAAGCAUGGCCCUCUGGAAGCCACAUCCACAGAAGCUACGCCAGGGACACACAACAAGAAACAACCUCCAAGUGAUUGGAGAGGUGGGCCCUCACCUCCUUGGCAGCCGUGGCGGCGCCCACAGAUCUGCACUGCACUUCUUUGGUCUUCCCCAAAGUUCAAGGCCAGUGAAAGAGGACUUGCUGGCUUAUGUUUCUGAGCUAGAGAUUUUCUCACCAUACAAAAGAUUUCUGGGUUUCCGUGAAGCACACACUCCCAAAGCAUAUUUCGAGAAGAGAGAUAAGCGAACUCACAGAACACCUGUAGAUGAGCUUCUCCCGGGACACCAAAGGCUGGUGCGAUUUUAGGAUGAGGGUUACGCUGAAGAAUAUGGGAAUGUAUGGGGCGAGCGGUGGUGCCCAGUCCUGAAGCGGUAGCCCCACAGCCUGAGCCAGGAACGCUGGGUUGCCUGAACACCCCGGCUAGGAGGGCAGAUCUGUAUCUCGCACAUACCUGGUGUGUGUGCAAACACUCACUAAACACCUACGCACUUCGUACACUACCAGCCUCAUUUUCAAGCUACGAUCAAGGCCAAUAUUUAUUUAAUUUGAUUGAUUGAAAACAUUUAAUAUAAUCAUAACCUUUGUAUAUAACCAUGUAGGGUUUUUUUCUUAUUUUCCGGUAUGAACAUUUAUUUGGCCAUCCGUAGAGCGGCCUGGGAUGGUGACACAGAUCCUUUCCAGCAACUCGGUAGCAAACAAACAACUUAAAAAUCCUGCUCUGAAUUUUGAAAAUCACUUUGAGAGUUUUGCAGAAGUGAUCUUUCCCCACCCAUAACCUCUAAAAAUAUCUCCCGGCCCUUCUGAUAAUGAGAGGCACUAAUAGGAUAGAUGGAUGCUUAAUUAGUUCCACCAAAAAAAAACUGCAGUGUGUCUAUCCUGGUUAGUGCUUAUCAUAUGGAUUUUUCUUUUAUCCUUCUCUCUGAUUCAUUGGUUCAUUUUUUUUUUUUUAAGUAAAAGAACUGCUGUCAUCCCAUAACUGUUCUUACAAGAUAACGUUAGUCAUUGUGUUCUCACAAUAUGCUUCUCAUCUGGCAGUUAAUUUCCCCAGGGAGUGCUGGGAUGUUUUAUUUUCAGAUAAUCUCCAAUUAGCUUCUUUUCUCUAUAAUCCUGCUCAGCCCACAUUCACACUUUUCUCCUGUACAUCUUCCUCCUCUUAACAUACUUCAAGGAAGACAUGUGAUUUACACUGUUUAUAACUCUGCCUCACCUAUUUGCUCGCUCAUCUACGUCAAGAGAUACUAGAUUUUAAUGCCCAAGAUCCAAAUCAGAUAAAAUAAAACAUCAGGUCUAUCAAAUGCUGCUUUUCCCAGCUAAGCUCACGCUGCAUUCAAUCCUUCUUUUUACGAAUUUGAAAGGAUAUUCCUGAGAUCUAUAUUAAAUAUGAUCCUUGGGACGCCUGGGUGGCUCAGCGGUUGGUGUCUACCUUUGGCUCAAGUUGUGAUCCUGGGGUUCCGGGAUCAAGUC